CGCCAGCGCCGCCUCCUCGCAAUUUCAAAUCCGCCCGCCCGGACGUGUCCGGAGCGUCUCACGGAACUGCGUCACGGCCGGGCCAGGGGCGGAGCAGCGCGGGCCGGAGGGAGGGGGGAAUGGAGGAAUAGAGGGGAGGAAGGAAUGAAGAAACAGAGGGGAGGAGAAUCCCAACCCCCGGAAGGGUUCGGGGAAGGGCCAUGAUCCUGCACCGGCAUGGCGGCGCCCGCGGAGAAGGUUGCUCCAGGAGAUGAGGAUGGUUGGUGAAGGCUGUGGAUUCUGGGAGCUGAUUUUUCAUCCUGAAGAGGGGACUUAGGAUGUCCGUGGUCCAUCGUCUGACAGCAGGAUGGCUUGUGGAUCAUCUCUCUUUCAUCAACCAGUGUGGCUAUGAGAUCUGUGACUCCUUUGCACACCCUGGUGGUGUCACUCCCAAUACUUCUGUCACAUCUGCUGAAGACUUUCACAGUAUUUCUACUUUUGCUGCCACCCCCUCAUCAAGUAAUGGUCCUGCUUAUGGUCCUGGAGAUGCCAUAGAAGCUGAAGGUAAAAGAGCAAAAACGAGAUACGUGUUUCGGGAGGAGUUCUUUAAUAUUUCUGAGCCCCAUAUAGCUGCAGCUCCUGAGGAGCAGCUGUGUCAGGGAUGCCCUGAGGUGAGUCUGACAGAAAUAAAGGCCAGGAGCAACAGAGAGGAAUACCAAGGAGGAGGAAAGAGUGACACUGGAAAUUCUCUUGCCACUGCUAGGAAGAAACGUAAAAGGAAAUGUGUAUUCAACCAAGGUGAACUGGAUGCUUUGGAAUACCAUUCAAAGGUUAGAAAGCUCAUUUGGGAAGGCACUUUGCAUUUAGUCCAAGAGGGACUCAAAAGUGGUUUUCUUCACCAUACUACUGCAAAACCCAGUUGCAGGAAGAAUAAUGUUCCUCACCACGUUGCCUGUGGGUUGGCUGAAUUAUGUGAAAUGGCAAAGCAGUUUCCAGCUGUGAAUGGAAGUGACCAUCAAGCUGUAGGUGUGCUAGAGGAAACCUCCAGUGCAGAGCAGGACCUGCUUUCGUGUGUUAUGGAAAACAACUCAAACUGUGCGAAGAUAAUUGUGUUAAUGGGGCAGAAAUACUUGGUACCACCAAAAAGCAGUUUUCUCUUAUCUGAUAUUUCAUAUUUACAGCCCCUGCUGAACUACAAGAAAAAAUAUCAUGUAAUUGUGAUUGAUCCACCAUGGGAGAACAAGUCUGUUAAAAGGAGUAACAGGUACAGCCACUUGUCUUCGUGGCAAAUCAAGCAGAUUCCUGUACCUGCACUAACUGCUCCAGAUUGUCUUGUAGUCAUGUGGGUGACUAAUAGACAGAAGCACUUACGUUUUGUUAAGGAUGAACUUUAUCCUCACUGGUCGGUGAAAACACUUGCUGAGUGGCACUGGGUAAAAAUUACUACAGCUGGAGAGUUUGUAUUGCCCUUGGAUUCUUUGCACAAAAAACCCUAUGAAGUUCUUGUAUUGGGGAGAGUUCAAGAAGAUGUAAAGGAAGUCUUAAGGAAAUCUGAAGAUGUUCUUCCAAUUCCAGAGCAUCAGUUAAUCGUCAGCAUACCCUGCAGUCUGCAUUCACAUAAACCUCCUCUUGCUGCAGUUCUGGCAGAGUUUAUCAAGCCAGAUGUGGAAUGCUUGGAGUUGUUUGCUCGCAACCUGCAGCCCGGCUGGACCAGCUGGGGAAAUGAGGUCUUGAAGUUUCAGCACAUUGAUUAUUUCACUCUUCUGCAGAAUGAGAACUGAGCUGGGUCUUAGCUAUCUAUACCUUCUGAAAUUCCACAUCUUCCCAGGGGGCUCUGAACUUAACUUAAUUACUGAUGUUGCACCUGAAGGAAUACAUGUGAUGGUCCUCAGCUGGUAUGAACUUGUGAAUUUUCUUGGGAGCUGAUGAAGUGAUGCUAGAUUACACAAACAAAGCCAUUGCCUGACAGCUUCUGGUGUCCACUUUUCUCAUCACUGAUCAUCCCUUCUGUGAAUUUCUCAGCUUAUUCAGACUAGAAAACAACAGAUAGCUCCCUAUAAGACAGGCGUAGUAUUUUCUAAACCAUCUGUGACUAUUUUUUGACUCAUUUUUUCCAUGUAAUCCCAGCAUUUUUACUCACUGCAUCAGAUAUAGCACCCUCCGUGUCUUACAGGGUAUCAAACCAAAUUUCCAGCUACAUGUGAUUUUAAUUAAUGCUUUGCCUUGAAGGAACUGAGCUGCUGGUAGCAACUAAGGAUAUUUGAGUUCCCCAUCUUGUGAACAUUGUAGCCUCAUGUUUUAAUCCACAUCCAUAACCCACGUCCUUUAGAAAUUAACAACAGCUGCUCCUGAUAUCUAACAUUUUAAACUUCUUUUAUUUACCCUUAGAAACAUCACAAACCACAAUUUUAGAAAUAUUGAGCUAAGUAUCUAACAAUUCUUGCUUCUGGGUCACAUGGUGUGUUGGAGUUUGGUAACACCUGCAGACAUUCCCUUUUUUGCUGCUUGUCCUAGUAUAGCCUGCUCAUGUUGAGAUAUAAAUCUCUUUAGAUUGAAAAAGGCAAAUAAUUCAGGAGGCUUUCUAAAAGCAGCCAGAGCGUUUAUCUAUUUCAGUUACAAGUAUUCCAUCUGUAUUCCACGUAGCAGAGCUCUAUGUCUGGGGAGAGCUUAAUAUCAGAUACAGCUUUCCCACUGGAUGGGGAUCUUUAAUGUAUCACUUGUGAGUAGUAACUCUCUUUGCUGACAUUUACAGUUGCUGUUGAUAUUUCUUACCUCCUAAUGUUUCCAGACACUUAGCCUUCCAGGAGGGCCUGAGCCGACUCAGGCUGGGGCGCAUUUGCCUCCUCUGGGAAGCUGUUUUGCAGUUUUGAAUAUCUCAGCUAUUCAUAAAAAGGCAAUGUGACUUUGCUAGCCCUCAAGAGUACAUCUGUCUCACUGACUCACCACAGAGAUGCAGAAAACAAAUAUACUUGCCAGUCCUGAUAGUGGUGCUUGGCUUGUUGGCUGCUUCAUGCAGUUGGAAGAACACAGCCAAGCUUUCUCAGGAAGGGCUUUGGGCAGACAGGUCAAGAGGGCAUAGGCACCCAGCCAGGAGAGCAGCUCAAUGGCAUCGAGAGCUGGACUGCUGCAUCAUCUGGUUCAUUAGAGGAUGAAGCACUUAAUUGUCACAGCUGGUGUCAUAGUGAAUCACUGGCACCUUGGAGAAGAAAGAGAAUUAUUGAGUAUGACCAACGUGGACUCUAGAAAGAGAUGGCUGGUAGCAUGUGAUGAAGGAGCUUUUAUGAGGAUAUGCAAGAUAACAGUGAGAAGUCUACAUAAAGUCAGAAUUCCAAAAUAGCCGGGUUAGUAUAAAGCUUAGGAUUCCAGGUGAAAACUUGUAAUGCAUGCCGAGCUUGUAUUAAAAAGGGACCCUCCACUACUAACCUUUAAAAUAUUUCAUGAACUUCUCACUUGAAAAUUUGAUUUAUGAUGAAGAUUCUCUUUACUUUGAGAGGUCUGAGCUAAUUUUUGAGUUAUUUUCUCUUCCUAGUUUUUGUUUGCAGUAUGCUUAGCCAAGCAUGAUGCAAAAUACUUAGUUAUGUAUAAUGUAAAAGAUCAGAAAGGUAACUCAUGCCUUCAGCUGUUGUUUUUAAAGAACCAUCUUUUACAUGCUUACUAUCUACUAAGAGGCGAGAGUCAUGUGUGCUAAGUCACUUAUCUGGCUUGUUUACUCCAUCUUUGGGAGCAUGAUUGUCGGUGGAGAAUGAAAAUGGAGAAUUCAGAAACAGAUGAGAAAAAGCAGUGAUGAUUUCAAAGCACUGCAAUGAAGGAUAAUAUCUCAGAUAUUGCCAUGGUCUCUAAUCUUACCUAGCAUGUUCUUCUAAAACUCCUUUGUUGUGGCAGAGGUGGCUGUUAACUGAAGGAAAGCAGCAAAUGCUGCAAACCACUGAUGGUGGCACUAGAGCCCUAUCCCUCUGUUCUCCUCCCCAGAAAGCUAAUAAAGAACAUCAAAAAUAGAUGUUAUCAGGCCAUCAAGAAUUAACAACAUGCAGCAGAUGGUAACACCUACCCUUUGCUAUAUACCUAAUUUUAGCCCAGACUGUUUACCAGCAAGUUGUGGCAAAGGUUAAGGAAUCCAGCGCUGAGGAGCGGGAAGCGACCAGAGGCAGGAGGGAGCAGAGAGGUUUUCUCUCACUUCUGUCCCUCUUUCAGAUUAUCAUUUUAAUCAGUGGCUUUGCACACCAUGAUUACCCUCAGUGAAAUGAAUGAAAGUGUUUCCUUCAGCCUCAAACUAUCAGCUGGUAAACUGCCAGUUGACAUCUAUGGCAUACCCAAAAAAUGGAGCUAUAUUUCAUGGCUGAAAUUGAGCUAUCUCCCUGAAGGUGUUAUCAUGGGAAAUGCAAUUACAUUAUGCAGUGUGUGUGUAGGGUGGGCACAUGUGCUUAUGGAUGCACAUACAUAGUUUCACCCAUCAUGUUUUGUCCUUACCUUCUUGCUUUAUUUGCUUUCCUUUCCUGACACUAGCAACAGUGUGAUUUAGGACAGUGCAUUGAUGUGUGUUGGAUCUGUCAUUCUUGUGAUGGAAUAUCUAGACUGAGACCAUGUCUUCACCACAGGCUUAAUUCAGGCUUCUACCUACAUUUUAGUACACAUCUCUCUGUCAGCAGCACACUUAAAUUUUCACCUGGGCUUAUGUGAGCUCUGAACAGAUGUUUGCUGUCCCAGUGAGGGGCACAGUUUGAAGUCAAGGUCUCUGCUGAAGGGUGGCCCAGCUCAGCAGUGCAGCCUGUCCAAUGCAGGGAAUGGCUCAAAAGUGCUGGGUGAGAAAGAGAGCAAGGAUUUCUCCACCUGGAAUGAAGGAUGCCACAGUCGGGGUUAGCAGACCUGCACCAGGUAUUUGAUACCAGGUGGUCUGGUUUCUCAGCUGGAGGAGAAGCAGGUGUCACUGCUGGAGGUGUUCACCCCAAUGCUGCAGCCCCCCAGCAAGGGACAGCUGGCAUUUUGCAGCCUUAUUUCUGUUCCCCUCAUUGUUCACCAAGAGCAGACCACACCAGCUUUGCAAGAGGCUUGGCUCACUCUCACAUCUACAACGCACGACUGCUGCCUUGAUGCUGAACAAGGAUUCCCUGUCCCAACCUGCACCCUUUGAUGUGUAUUUGCUCACUCAGUCCCUGCUAGGUCUUCUGGCCAUAGGCUUAAGUUUACCCAUGAGUGCAUACUGUGAAGAUGCAGGGAGGGCCUGCAGAGUAGAAGAGACCUGAACAUUUCUGAAGGGGGAUGUAAGCAAUAGGAGAAUUUUCCCCAAAGCACUGGCCAACCUUCCUUUGCUCUGCCUUUGAGAGGGUCAUGUAUAGAUUUAAUUAAUUUUUGUUAAAUUGCCGUAUCACAAGCUGUGUUUCCUAGUGGGAAGUUCUGUACACAAGAUGUUUAAAAUGUUUUUCUGCUGUGGAUGCUUUGUGUAAACAGCAGUUCAGUGAGAGACAAACUGCCCUGAGUUGCACAAGUGAAUAAAAAUUAGUUGAAUCCCUGG